GACGAACGCUGGCGGCGUGCUUAACACAUGCAAGUCGAACGGUAAGGCUCCAGCUUGCUGGGGUACACGAGUGGCGAACGGGUGAGUAACACGUGGGUGACCUGCCCUGCACUUCGGGAUAAGCCUGGGAAACUGGGUCUAAUACCGGAUAGGACCGCACCGCGAGGGUGUGGUGGAAAGUUUUUUCGGUGUGGGAUGGGCCCGCGGCCUAUCAGCUUGUUGGUGGGGUAAUGGCCUACCAAGGCGGCGACGGGUAGCCGGCCUGAGAGGGUGGACGGCCACAUUGGGACUGAGACACGGCCCAGACUCCUACGGGAGGCAGCAGUGGGGAAUAUUGCACAAUGGGCGGAAGCCUGAUGCAGCGACGCCGCGUGGGGGAUGACGGCCUUCGGGUUGUAAACUCCUUUCACCAUCGACGAAGGGUUUCUGACGGUAGAUGGAGAAGAAGCACCGGCUAACUACGUG
rnacentral:rRNA from 1 species